UGAGGUAAUAUUAUAUUUUUAUGUUUCCAGGGCAUGGUGGCUGUGUCCGGCAGCCUGUCUGUCCUCCUGGACUCUAUCCUCUGUGCUCUGGGGCCGCUCACCUGUCUCACUGCCCAGGUCCCGGAGCUCAACUCCUGCCCUCGACACGUCCUGUCCAACACUCUGGACAACAUCGCCUAUGUCAUGCCCGGACUGUGACGGCAGCCGCGGUACCCAGCAGGCCUGAGUGGACUCGAUCUGGGUCGCGAAGGAAGGAGUUGGCAAGACGGGCACAUGGCGGGAGUACCCAGAAUCCACUGGGGCCUCUGGAAGAAGAGCCUCUGUUUUAAUUCUGUUCUUAAAAAGUCUCUAUUCGUUUGUUUUUUAAUUAAAACUCUUUUAGUGAA